UACGGAGGGUGCAAGCGUUAUCCGGAUUCACUGGGUUUAAAGGGUGCGUAGGCGGUCCUAUAAGUCAGUGCUGAAAUCUCCCGGCUUAACCGGGAGGGUGGCAUUGAUACUGUGGGACUUGAGUAAAGUUGAGGUUGGCGGAAUUGACGGUGUAGCGGUGAAAUGCUUAGAUAUCGUCAAGAACACCUAUUGCGAAGGCAGCUAACUAAGCAUUAACUGACGCUGAGGCACGAAAGUGUGGGGAGCAAACAGG
rnacentral:rRNA from 1 species